rnacentral:misc_RNA from 1 species
UCUCCGUUGGUGAACCAGCGGAGGGAUCAUUAUCGAGUUUACAACUCCCAAACCCAUGCGAACCUUACCUAUCGUUGCUUCGGCGGAACGCCCCAGGCCCUGUGCCCGGAACCAGGCGCCCGCCGGAGGCCUAAACUCUUGUUUUCUACCUCGUGGUAUUCUCUGAGUGGCGUAAAUAAAUAAAUACAACUUUCAGCAACGGAUCUCUUGGCUCUC